AAUGAACGCUGGCGGCGUGCUUUACACAUGCAAGUUGAGCGAGGCCACCCGCAAGGGUGAGUCGAGCGGCGAACGGGUGAGUAACGCGUGGAUAACCUGCCCUGAGGUGGGGAAUAACCCGGGGAAACUCGGGCUAAUACCGCAUGAUACUUAGCGGUCAAAGGGGGCGUCGCAAGAGCUCUUGCCACAGGAGGGGUCCGCGUUCGAUUAGCUAGUUGGUAGGGUAAUGGCCUACCAAGGCGACGAUCGAUAGCCGGCCCUGAGAGGGUGAUCGGCCACACUGGAACUGAGACACGGUCCAGACUCCUACGGGAGGCAGCAGUGGGGAAUUUUGCGCAAUGGGCUAACGCCUGACGCAGCAACGCCGCGUGGAGGAUGAAGGUCUUUGG
rnacentral:rRNA from 1 species